ACGCACGCUGGCGGCGUGCUUAACCCAUGCCAGUCGAACGGUGAAGCGCCUUCCUUUUUGGUGGGUGUGGAUGAGUGGCGAACGGGUGAGUAACACGUGAGUAACCUGCCCCCUUCUUCUGGAUAACCGCAUGAAAGUGUGGCUAAUACGGGAUAUUCUGGGUCUGUCGCAUGAUGGGUCUGGGAAAGAUAUUGUUUCGGUGGGGGAUGGGCUCGCGGCCUAUCAGCUUGUUGGUGGGGUGAUGGCCUACCAAGGCGGUGACGGGUAGCCGGCCUGAGAGGGUGGACGGUCACACUGGGACUGAGACACGGCCCAGACUCCUACGGGAGGCAGCAGUGGGGAAUAUUGCACAAUGGGCGCAAGCCUGAUGCAGCGACGCCGCGUGAGGGAUGGAGGCCUUCGGGUUGUGAACCUCUUUCGCCAGUGAAGCAGGCCUGCCUCGUUUGUGGGUGGGUUGACGGUAGCUGGAGAAGAAGCGCCGGCUAACUACGUG
rnacentral:rRNA from 1 species